rnacentral:lncRNA from 1 species
CGCUUGCACAGUUUAUCGUCUGGUAGGUUAUUAAUCCUUUUAAAGUACGCAACUUUUUGGCGGGUGAUAAAUGCAAAUACGGGUUCCCAUCCAAGCUCGAGAAGGAGAGCGGAACGGGGAAUAUUUAUUUUAGUGUUCAUAAUGAUCUUAGCUGCGCGGUAUUGCCAACUGUCGAUGAUCGAUAUAUUUGUAGCUGAAAGUGGCAUCGAGACGGCGCAUGCGUGUGUUAAAGAAGGCCGGAGCACUGAGUUCCAAAGGGCGUCUCCAAAUUAAACACGGUUAAAAUUUCCAUGCUCACCGAGGACACGUAACAAAUAGUUCAGCAUAUUAUCCAUCUUAUCUUUCAAAUAGUUAUUUACAUGGAAAUUUGACUUUAGUGAUCUAUUUAUGUAGUAACCGAGGUAUUUAUAUUCGUUCACUUUCUCGAUAUUUAC